AUGUUUUGCCUCAUGAAUUCUAAUUUUUUCUCCUUUCUUGAAAAUCACUCAAUCUUUGUUUACUUGAUAUUUGUGAUGAUUAGAUCUUUGUUCUUUCAUGAGUUGAAGUUUUGUCCCUCAAUUGAAAUGUGUUUAGAAACUUUCAUAAGAUUUAUGGUUGCAAUUCAUCUCUUACCACUUACUUUGUUGGUUCACACUUGA